rnacentral:tRNA from 1 species
GAAAACGUAACCAAGUGGAACAAGGUAGUGGAUUGUGAAUCCACCACGCGCGGGUUCAAUUCCCGUCGUUCG